UAGGGAAUCUUCCACAAUGGACGCAAGUCUGAUGGAGCAACGCCGCGUGAGUGAAGAAGGUUUUCGGACCGUAAAGCUCUGUUGUUGGUGAAGAAGGAUAGAGGUAGUAACUGGCCUUUAUUUGACGGUAAUCAACCAGAAAGUCACGGCUAACUACGUGCCAGCAGCCGCGGUAAUACGUAGGUGGCAAGCGUUGUCCGGAUUUAUUGGGCGUAAAGCGAGCGCAGGCGGAAGAAUAAGUCUGAUGUGAAAGCCCUCGGCUUAACCGAGGAAUUGCAUCGGAAACUGUUUUCUUGAGUGCAGAAGAGGAGAGUAGAACUCCAUGUGUAGCGGUGGAAUGCGUAGAUAUAUGGAAGAAUACCAGUGGCGAAGGCGGCUCUCUGGUCUGCAACUGACGCUGAGGCUCGAAAGCACGGGUAGCGAACAGGAUUAGAUACCCUGGUAGUCCAUGCCG
rnacentral:rRNA from 1 species